rnacentral:lncRNA from 1 species
GAAAACCCAUCAAGUAUAUUAAGAAAAUGCAACUAAAAACAAAAACAUAAGUGAAACAAAACAAAUUAUAGAAAAAUAAUAAAAAAGAAAAGAAAAUAAAAAAGGGAGGAAACAGGGGUGUAAGCGCCUAGUGCAGGGUGUAAUGAACAUUAUGGUUUAGGCUGGAGGAUUACGCCCAAAGCCAAGAAGCACACUCAGG